GGAAGAACCUUCACCAGGAACCGAUCAGGUGGCACCCUGCUCCCAGGCUUUCCAGCCUCCAGCUCGGUGAGAAAUCCGUCCCUGUCGUUUCAGCCAGCAGGUUGGCGGUGGUAUUUCAUCUGCCAUAUUGCUGAAAGUGGGUUUCCAUGAGAAAUGAACAAAACCAAACCUUGAUUUUGGACUUCCAGGCUCCAGAACAUUUUCAGGAAGAGAAAAAUCGUGGGAGACUCGUCAGCACCACUUCCUGAGACGUAGAACACUGGAGAUGGGGUGGAAGCAGAGACGGAGGAAGAGCUUAGCCGAGUUUUCAAAGUGGAGCUGGAACGUGAAAGGCACAGGGGAGGAGCCAAUGAACAGGACUAGAAAUGCACACAUUCGGCUAAUCAAGUUACCACAAAACGGGAAGCUAUUUAGAGGCAGAGCUGGAAUUAAUACCCAACUCUGACUUCAAAUCACGAAGACCAAGAUGAGAACCUCUCACCCGGUUGAGAACCAUGCUAAAGCUGUGCAAUAUUGGCAGGUAGACCCAG